rnacentral:rRNA from 1 species
MCGACUCUCGGCAACGGAUAUCUCGGCUCACGCAUCGAUGAAGAACGUAGCAAAAUGCGAUACUUGGUGUGAAUUGCAGAAUCCCGUGAACCAUCGAGUUUUUGAACGCAAGUUGCGCCCGAAACCAUUUGGUUGAGGGCACGUCUGCCUGGGCGUCACG